CCAAAAACAUAGCCCUUGAACUAAUCAAAGGUGUAACCUGCCCAAUGGUUCUUAAUUAAAUAAAAAUAAACUUUUAUAAUAGAACUUAAAGGACGCAGUAACCUGACUGUGGUAAUGUAGCAUAAUCAUUCGCCAUUUAAUUGAUGGAUAGUAUGAAUGGUUGAACGAAUUCUUCACUGUCUUAAAAAGAGAAAUCAUGAAAUUGAAAUAAUAGUUAAGAUGCUAUUUACUAUUGUAAGACGAAAAGACCCUAUAGAGCUUAACUAUAAACUUUCUAAUAAAAUCGAAUCAUAAAAAUUCCUAAAAAAGAAAGUUAGGUAGUUUAGUUGGGGCGACUAUCUUCUAAAAUUAACGAAGACAAGCAAUAUUAAUAAUUAAUUUAUUGUAUAAUAAAUAAAUUUAACAAUUACGAAAGUAGGCUAUAAUGACCCGUUAUAAUUUUAUAAUUAAUAUAACGAUUAAUAAAUAAAAGCUACCUUAGGGAUAACAGGAUAAUUUUGUUUUAGAGAUCUUAUCGAAGACAAAGUUUGUCACCUCUAUGUUGAAUUAAGAUAUCCUGAUAGUGCAGAAGCUAUCAAAGGUAGGUCUGUUCGACCUUUAAAAUCUUACAUGAUUU
rnacentral:rRNA from 1 species